rnacentral:tRNA from 1 species
GGUGCUGUAACUCAGUGGUAAGAGUGCUUGCCUAGCACGUAUGAGGCACUGGGUUCAAUUUUCAGCACUC